AUUUCAGCUCCCGCACCACUAGGAAAGACCCAUGUUCCAGACUUAGAGUGGAAGGUUCAUGACUUCUCUGCGCUACUUGAGACGAAAGCUACCUCGGCGAUAUCCGCUCUUUUUCACUGCUCUGGGUACAAUUGGUGCUUGCUACUGACUCCAAAGCACAAACAAGAUGAUAAAGAAAAUCUAUAUGUUGCUCUUUCUCUUAUGAUAUCCAAGGGAGACUUGGAGCAAGGUCAAACGAUGCAUGCAGUGUUUGAGUUGUCAAUAUUCAACAAUUCAAAUGGAAUGUAUUGUGGAUACAAAGCUAGCUACAACUUCGCUUUCAACAAUGCCCAAUCGAAAAAGGAAUGCUUGAUUCCUCUUCAGGAGCUACUGAAAUCAUCUGCUUUUCUAGUUGAUGAUAGUUGUGUCUUUGGUGUGGAGAUAUUAAAAAUUGAUGUCUCUUCUCCUGAAAAGAAGGCCGUCGUGGUUCAAAAGAAGGCUACCACAGUUCAGAACCUCUUUGUGCAGAAGAAGGGAUUCAUCAAAGGGACUUACACUUGGACCAUAAACAAUUUCCUAGAAUUGGACUCUCAGAACUUUGUCCGUUCUCCUACAUUUGAAGUUGGCGGGCAUAAAUGGUACAUCGGCAUGUAUCCACAUGGUGAGAGGCGCAGUACUGAUUGCCUCGCCUUGGGAUUGUACCUGGAGUCCUUGGAUGAGCUCUUUAUCGAGUCCAGGAAGGUGGUUCAAAUUACGCUGUCCAUCCUAGACCAAAAGACUGGGAAAUACUUCACUAGAACUACAGCAGAUCUUUUGGUGUGUACACAUCGAGAAGGGUGGGGAUGGUUCAACUUCUUGCCACUCAAGGAACUCCAGGGUAUGUCCAGAGGCUAUCUUAUAGAAUCGAAGUGCGUCCUCAAGGCAGAUUUCACUAUCUUCGGGUCGUCGAAUGAUGGCUAG
rnacentral:rRNA from 1 species